AGCGAACGCUGGCGGCAGGCCUAACACAUGCAAGUCGAACGAACCCUUCGGGGUUAGUGGCGGACGGGUGAGUAACACGUGGGAACGUGCCUUUAGGUUCGGAAUAACUCAGGGAAACUUGUGCUAAUACCGAAUGUGCCCUUCGGGGCAAAGAUUUAUCGCCUUUAGAGCGGCCCGCGUCUGAUUAGCUAGUUGGUGAGGUAAUGGCUCACCAAGGCUACGAUCAGUAGCUGGUCUGAGAGGAUGACCAGCCACAUUGGGACUGAGACACGGCCCAAACUCCUACGGGAGGCAGCAGUGGGGAAUCUUGCGCAAUGGGCGAAAGCCUGACGCAGCCAUGCCGCGUGGAUGAUGAAGGUCUUAGGAUUGUAAAAUCCUUUCACCGAUGAAGAUAAUGACGGUAGUCGGAGAAGAAGCCCCGGCUAACUUCGUGCCAGCCGCCGCCGUAAGAC
rnacentral:rRNA from 1 species